AAGAUGCUUUACGCACACAGACACACCCAGCUUAAGGCCUGUCAGUCUGGUAUAUAAGUCAGCUGCAACAGGUACACCAUAAAAAGCAACCUCACUGUCAAAGACUCACCUACAGACUGCUGCUGCUGAGUUUCAUAACAGAGAAAAUGAAAGCUCAGAUUUUGAUCCUGCUCUUUGCUCUUGUGGUCGUGCUUGAAGCGGCACCCACUGCUGACGGCGAUGGUGAUACUGAUGUGAUUCCAGAGGAUGUGGCCCUGGACGGAUUGCUCCAAGAUAAAGCGCCAGUUGACAAUGUUGACAAAAUUGCCGAGGAUUUUGAAGGAGAAGACAGUUUCAAGGACUUGCCAUGAGAGGAAAAAGAAACAGCUUUGAAAACAGACUCAGCCAAAAGAUGUCGAAUAAAUAAAGACAAUAAAUAAAUGCAUGUCCCUCUGUUGA